GAGCUGCCGCCUAUACGUCUCACGCACUCACAGGAAGUUCUCCAUGGAAAUCCUCACGAUAGCUCCCUCUACAAACGGCGAUUCUGUAUUCAGUCGGCAGCCCGCUUCCGGUCCGGCGGCCUCUGUGUUUUGCCUAUUGCGGCGAUUGUUCCCACCGCUCUCUCCCGCCUCACCGCUCCUGGGUUUGCGUUUGGCGGGGGUCGCCAUUUUACCGCCGUCCACAGCGCUCACCACAACGACAGGCACGGCUGAAUGGAAAACCAGACGUUGUCCCUGACCGCUGGGGUUGAUGGGAGUUGGAGUCCAAAAGAGCUGAAGGGCCACCGGUUCCCCACCUCUGCCUCAUAGGCUGAAGUUUCUCAGGUUCCGUACACGGACAGGGGCUUGCUCGCCUGCCCGACCGCCAUGCCAAAGCCGCUGCUGCCACCACCGCUCCUGCUGCGGUCAGCGAGCGGUAGCUGCCCCAGGGACAGCGAGCUGGUCCAGCAGUUCCUGCACAUCUACAGCGACUCAGCCAAGACCAAGACGAUGACCUGGAGCAAAUGUGGGGGCCACCCAACUAUGCUUUUGCCCCAGGACCCCCACAUGCUAAGGGAGGGCCUGACCUUAUGAAUCCUAUGAAAUAAAAGGGUUGUUGCAGCAACAUUUUUUUUAACUGGAGGAUUAUAUUCUUGAAGUGUCCACCAGAUGUCAGCAUCUUGCAGGAGAGUAGGAUUGGAAAUAUCUGUCAGUUCUGGUGUUCUCAGUUUGUCAAUUUUUCCAAUAUUAAAGUCUGUUCACGUUUCUGCAGCAAUUUGUAAUUUUUUAAAAAAAACUCAUGAAAAUUCUCCAGCACUUUAGUGUGAAUUUCUCCUAAUAAACACAGUUUUAUAGACAGUUUUGGCUAAUGUAUACAUUUUUGUUAGCAGUUUUGACCUAAUAUAAUGCAUUUUGUAUGGUAUUUUUACUCAUAUUCAUUUUUAUUUUCCCUUUACAUUCUUGUAAACAUUGUUUAGUUGGUGAACUGCAUUCC